UAUUCGCUAAAGGGUGCUCGGGAGGCUACGCCGUAAAACAAACCCAUUUCUAAGGUUGACCUCGGAUCAGGUAGGGAUACCCGCUGAACUUAAGCAUAUCAAUAAC
rnacentral:rRNA from 1 species